AAAGUUUUCGAAUAUAUUUACUUUGCUUAACAAUUUAUUUGAUUAUUAUCAAAUUUGUCCUCUGCCCGAAAACCCUAGCACCUGCUUCAACGUAAUUCUACCAUCUCAGACUCAACACUUCCGCAUCACUUCCAGUUUCGGAGUUCCGUUCAAAUCGCGAGGUGAAAGUAAUGGAUGAGGGAAAACAUAAAUUGAGAAAAGAAGAAGGUGAUUCUAAGAGGAGUCAUCGUGAUCGAGAUCGCGAUAGAACUGGUGAAAGAGGUAAGGAAAAGGAUAGAAGUGAUGGUAGACAUAAGGAUAAUAGGGAGAAGAGGGAUCGUGAAUCUCGUAGACAUGAUAGAGAGAAAAGUACUGAUUCUGAUGAUAAGCAUGAUAGAGAGAGGGAGAAGCGGAGAGAUGUUAAAGAGAAGGAUAGGGCACGGGUUCAUGAUGUCGAUAGAGAAAAAGUGAGGGAUAGAAAGAGGGAAAGGGAUAGGGAAGAGAAAGAGAAGGAGAGAGUAAAGGAGAAAGAAAGAGAUAGGGAAGAGAAAGAAAAGGAGAGAGUGAGGGAUAGGGAAGAGAAGGAAAAGGAGAGAGUGAGGGAGAGGGAAGAGAAGGAAAAGGAGAGAGGGAGGGAGAGGGAAGAGAAGGAAAAGGAGAGAGGGAGGGAGAAAGAAAGAGAGAGGGAGAGAAAGGAGGAUAAGGAGAGGAUUAGAGAGAAAGAAAGGGUAAGGGAAAGGCGGGAUCAUGAGAGAGAGAAGGAAAAGGAAAAGGAAAGAGAUAAAGGGAGGAGAGGACGAGAGAGGGAGAAGCAUAGAGAUGUUGAUAGUGAAAACAGUGAUGGUGAGUUGAGGGAGAGAAAUCGGAAGCGGCAUAAGAAAGAGGACGAGGAUUAUAAGGGGAGAGAGAAGGAAAAGAGUUCUAGCAAAUCAAACAGGAAAAUUGAGGGACUUGAUGCAAGCCCUAGAAGAAAGAGUGACGGUGAUGACUCGGAUUCUAAAGACAGAGAGAAAAAACCUACCCGUGAGGAGGAGAUGGAAGAUGAGCAAAGGAGGUUGGACGAUGAAAUGGAAAAGCGGAGGAGAAGAGUUCAAGAGUGGCAAGAGUUAAGGAGGAAGAAGGAAGAAGCGGAAAGAGAAAAGCAAGGUGAAGCAAGUGCUGCUGAACUUGAGUCUGGAAAAGCAUGGACACUUGAAGGGGAGGAAUCUGAUGAUGAAGAUGGAACAGGUAAACAUACUGCUAUGGAUGUAGACGAUGACGACAAACUUGCUGAUAAGGAACCUAUGGAGUCGAUGGUGGUAGAUGUUGACAAUGUAACAGUUGCGCCUGAUUUACAAAAUGGAGAUACUGGUGCUCCUUCAGACGAGGAAAUAGACCCAUUGGAUGCUUUUAUGAAUUCUAUGGUUCUUCCUGAGGUUGAGAAGCUGAACAAUGCUGUUAACUCAACACCUUCUGAUAAAACUUCUGACUUGAAACCCAAAGAUAAAGGGGACGGACGUAGUAAUGGCGGGCAGUCAAGGAAAGGUUCAAGUAAAUCUAUUGGCAGGAUAAUUCCUGGCGAAGAGUCCGACUCAGAUUAUGCUGAUCCUGAAACUGACGGGGAUCCAGUAGAAGAAGAUGAUGACGAGUUCAUGAAAAGAGUGAAGAAAACGAAAGUUGAAAAACUUUCGAUAGUUGACCACUCAAAGAUUGACUAUAUACCAUUCAAAAAGAAUUUCUAUAUUGAAGUGAAGGAGGUCUCAAAAAUGACUCUCGAAGAAGUUGCAUUAUACAGGAAGCAGUUAGAGUUGAAGAUACAUGGAAAGGAUGUGCCCAAGCCUGUAAAGUCAUGGAACCAGACUGGACUUACGAGCAAAAUUUUGGAUACAAUAAAGAAGGCGAACUUUGAAAAGCCAAUGCCUAUUCAAGCUCAGGCGUUGCCUGUAAUUAUGAGUGGCCGAGAUUGCAUAGGCAUUGCCAAAACCGGGUCAGGUAAAACACUUGCUUUUGUUCUGCCAAUGUUGAGGCAUAUCAAGGAUCAGCCACCAGUUCUUGCAGGAGAUGGACCUAUUGGGCUUAUUAUGGCCCCUACAAGAGAACUUGUUCAACAGAUUCACAGUGAUAUAAAGAAGUUUACAAAGGUAAUGGGUAUCAGGUGUGUCCCAGUCUAUGGAGGCUCUGGUGUCGCUCAACAAAUCAGUGAGUUGAAACGUGGUACCGAGAUAGUUGUUUGUACUCCAGGUAGGAUGAUUGACAUACUAUGCACCAGUAGUGGGAAAAUAACUAACCUGCGUAGAGUCACCUAUCUGGUAAUGGAUGAGGCAGAUCGAAUGUUUGACAUGGGCUUUGAACCUCAAAUCACAAGAAUUGUUCAGAAUAUUCGGCCAGAUCGUCAAACAGUUCUCUUCUCUGCCACUUUUCCCCGUCAGGUUGAAAUUUUAGCUCGCAAGGUUUUGAAUAAACCUGUUGAAAUGCAAGUUGGUGGGAGGAGUGUUGUGAACAAAGAUAUUGCACAGUUAGUUGAAGUGAGGCCAGAAAAUGAGAGGUUCCUACGACUCUUGGAACUACUUGGAGAAUGGUACGAGAAGGGAAAGAUUUUAAUAUUUGUCCACUCACAGGAGAAAUGUGAUGCAUUGUUCAAGGAUCUACUCAGGCACGGAUAUCCUUGUCUUUCUCUUCAUGGAGCUAAGGAUCAAACAGACCGUGAAUCCACAAUAUCUGAUUUUAAAAGCAAUGUUUGCAAUUUGUUGGUUGCGACAAGUAUUGCUGCUAGGGGAUUAGAUGUCAAGGAGCUAGAAUUGGUAAUCAAUUUUGAUGUUCCAAACCACUAUGAAGAUUACGUACAUCGUGUUGGGCGCACUGGUCGUGCUGGCCGGAAAGGUUGUGCCAUCACAUUUAUUUCCGAAGAAGAUGCGAGAUAUGCACCAGAUCUGGUGAAAGCUUUGGAGCUGUCUGAGCAGAUUGUUCCCGAUGAUCUGAAAUCCCUUGCUGAUGGCUUUAUGGCGAAAGUGACUCAAGGACUGGAGCAAGCCCAUGGGACUGGUUAUGGAGGCAGUGGCUUUAAAUUUAAUGAAGAAGAAGAUGAGGUAAGGAAAGCAGCAAAGAAAGCUCAAGCCAAAGAAUAUGGAUUUGAAGAAGACAAGUCAGAUUCUGAAGAUGAAGAUGACGGUAUUAGGAAGGCAGGAGGUGAUAUCUCACAGCACCCUGCUCUUGCUCAGAUUAUUGCUGCGACAAAAGCAAAUGCUCCCUCAAUGCCUACUCCCAUCUCCGCAACCCAACUGAUUUCAAAUGGAGGGCUGCCUGUUUCUUUGCCUUCUGUUCUUGGUCUCCAGACUGCAACAGUCUUGCCUGGAACAGGGCUACCCCUUGCUACAAACGACGGGGCAGCUCGAGCUGCACUAGCUGCUAUAAACCUGCAGCACAACUUGGCAAAAAUACAAUCUGAAGCAUUGCCAGAGCAUUAUGAGGCCGAACUGGAAAUAAAUGAUUUCCCUCAGAAUGCUCGCUGGAAAGUCACACACAAGGAAACUUUAGGCCCCAUUUCGGAGUGGACUGGAGCUGCCAUUACCACUAGGGGACAGUAUUUCCCACCUGGCAAAGUUGCUGGACCUGGGGAUCGCAAACUCUAUUUGUUCAUUGAGGGUCCUAGUGAGCAGUCAGUUAAGAGAGCCAAAGUAGAACUGAAGCGUGUUUUGGAAGACAUCACUAAUCAGGCUUUGCAACUACCUGGUGGAACUCAACCAGGCAAAUACUCUGUUGUAUAAAGGUCAACCUGAAGGCAAAAUGAGACACUGUUAAACACUAUUGUCUCGCACCCCACUCCGGGACUAGUUGCACAUAUGACUGCCUUUCAUGCCCAUUCAUUCGCAUACAGUUAGGUAUUUCAAGCCCAUUCUCCUAUAUUCAAAUAUCGUUCCAUCCUUGCGCUUGAUUGUGGAUGGCUAUGGUGUUGAUCAUGGUGUGACUUUUUUUUCAUCUAGGUUUUGGUUCGAUGAUUUUUUUGGCUGGAAAAGGGAUACAAGAUGUGAUUGGGGAGAUCACACGAUUCAGUUUUUUUAUGUAGUUUCCUUGCUUCACUGGUUUGGAUUUCAGCACAUGUUCCAUAAAACAUAUCUUUAUAUCAUAUUUACCAUUUUAAUCGAUAUGAUAUCAUGGCAUCUAAUUCAUCAGUUUAGGCUCCAUAAAGUAGUCAUGGCACUUAUAAAAUCAUUGCUUUGCACUUACCCUUGUUCUUGGUGAAUUCAGCAAUUCUAUAUUUUGUGUUGUAAUUCCAAAGGAUGUUGUAAAAUUCUAUUUGGUUUGCUGAAAGUAUUUUCAUGAAUUACUGAUGAAAAACCAUCACCUUUAUUA